CCCCCCGAUGCUCUUGGUUGAGUGUCUUGCGGGGUUCGAAGCGUUUACUUUGAAAAAAUUAGAGUGUUCAAAGCAGGCCCAGUUGCACGAAUACUGCAGCUAGGAAUAUUGAAUAGGACUCCGGUUCUAUUUUGUGGGUUUUCUCAAUGGACUCAGCUCCAAUAGCGUAUAUUAAAGUUGCUGCAGUUAAAAAGCUCGUAGUUGGAUUUCGGGAGUGGGCUGGCGGUCCGCCGCGAGGCGUGCCACCGUCUGUCCCGUACCCCUGCCUCCCGGCGCUCCCCGGAUGCCCUUAGCUGGGUGUCCGACGGGGCCCGGAGCGUUUACUUUGAAAAAAUUAGAGUGUUCAAAGCAGGCCGCAGCACGCCUGAAUACCGCAGCUAGGAAUAAUGGAAUAGGACUCCGGUUCUAUUUUGUGGGUUUUCGGAACCGGGGCCAUGAUUAAGAGGGACGGCCGGGGGCAUUCGUAUUGCGCCGCUAGAGGUGAAAUUCUUGGACCGGCGCAAGACGGACGAAAGCGAAAGCAUUUGCCAAGAAUGUUUUCAUUAAUCAAGAACGAAAGUCGGAGGGUCGAAGACGAUCAGAUACCGUCGUAGUUCCGACCAUUAACGAUGCCGACUAGCGAUCCGGCGGCGUUAUUCCCAUGACCCGGCCGGGGAGCUACCCGGGAACCCAAAGACUUUGGGUUCCGGGGGGGUAUGGUUGCAAAGCUGAAACUUAAAGGAAUUGACGGAAGGGCACCACCAGGAGUGGAGCCUGCGGCUUAAUUUGACUCAACACGGGAAACCUCACCCGGCCCGGACACGGACAGGAUUGACAGAUUGAUAGCUCUUUCUCGAUACUGUGGGUGGUGGUGCAUGGCCGUCUUAGUUGGUGGAGCGAUUUGGUCUGGUUUAAUUCCGACAACGAACGAGACUCUGGCAGGCUAAAUAGUUACGCGGCCCCGUGCGGUCGGCGUCCAAAACUUCUAAGAGGGACAAGUGGCGUUCAGCCACAUGGUGGUGCAUGGCCGUUCUUAGUUGGUGGAGCGAUUUGUCUGGUUAAUUCCGAUAACGAACGAGACUCCUCCAUGCUAAAUAGUUACGCGGCCCCUGGCGGUCGGCGUUUCAACUUCUUAGAGGGACAAGUGGCGUUUAGCCACGCGAGAUUGAGCAAUAACAGGUCUGUGAUGCCCUUAGAUGUCCGGGGCUGCACGCGCGCCACAAUGGGUGGAUCAGCGUGUGUCUACUCUGCGCCGACAGGCGCGGGUAACCCGCUGAACCCCACUCGUGAUUGGGACUGGGGAUUGAAACUAUUUCCCAUCAACGAGGAAUUCCCAGUAAGCGCGGGUCAUAAUAACAGGUCUGUGAUGCCCUUAGAUGUCCGGGGCUGCACGCGCGCCACACUGAGCGGAUCAGCGUGUGCCUGGCCUUUGCCGACAGGCCGUGGGUAACCCGCCGGAACCCCGCUCGUGAUGGGGAUUGGGGAUUGCAACUGUUUCCCAUGAACGAGGAAUUCCCAGUAAGCACAGGUCACAAG
rnacentral:rRNA from 1 species